UGUAGGAAUAUUCUGCUAAAUCUCAGUAGGAACAGUAGAGCUUGUGAUGUUUGAGCCACGACCCUCUCCCCUCUGGCUCUGUGUGAUGAGGGCUCUACUCUCCGGCAGGUGAUUCUUCCUCCGUGCCUGUCCACCUGUGCCAUGGAACAACUGGGCCCUUGACCUUCGAGAGUCUGGAUUUUAGAGGACUUGUGGCGAGUCACCUGGCGAGUCAAAUCCGGGUCAGACAAAAGCAACCGGACCCACGCUGACCGACUGCUGUGAGGAGCAGGCUGAUGGGAAGCUG
rnacentral:lncRNA from 1 species